rnacentral:rRNA from 1 species
AGAGUUUGAUCCUGGCUCAGAUGAACGCUGGCGGCAGGCUUAACACAUGCAAGUCGAGCGGUAACAGGAAGAAGCUUGCUUCUUUGCUGACGAGCGGCGGACGGGUGAGUAAUGCCUAGGAAUCUGCCUAAUAGUGGGGGAUAACUUGCCGAAAGGUAAGCUAAUACCGCAUACGUCCUACGGGAAAAGGAGGGGACUCUUCGGAGCCUUUCGCUAUUAGAUGAGCCUAGGUCGGAUUAGUUAGUUGGUGAGGUAAUGGCUCACCAAGACCGCGAUCCGUAACUGGUCUGAGAGGAUGAUCAGUCACACUGGAACUGAGACACGGUCUGGACUCCUACGGGAGGCAGCAGUGGGGAAUAUUGGACAAUGGGGGAAACCCUGAUCCAGCCAUGCCGCGUGUGUGAAGAAGGUCUUAGGAUUGUAAAGCACUUUAAGUUGGGAGGAAGAGCAGUUAACUAAUAUUUGACUGUUUUGACGUUACCGACAGAAUAAGCACCGGCUAACUUCGUGCCAGCAGCCGCGGUAAUACGAAGGGUGCAAGCGUUAAUCGGAAUUACUGGGCGUAAAGCGCGCGUAGGUGGUUCGUUAAGUUAGGAGUGAAAGCCCCGGGCUCAACCUGGAAUUGCUUCUAAAACUGGCGAGCUAGAGUAUGGUAGAGGGUGGUGGAAUUUCCUGGUAGCGGUGAAAUGCGUAGAUAUAGGAAGGAACAUCAGUG